UACACGCUACUAGUAUUAAAUUAAUAUGAUUUUUAGUUAGCCCCAAGCCUCACGCAGAUACGUGUAUUAAAAAUUUCGCCACCGUCGAACGUAUUAGUCGUAGUUUGUGAGAAGUAUUUUGAGUGAAGGGACUUUGGUUUGUUUAAAUGAAUAAAAAGGAUUAGGAUUAUUAAUAAAGCAUUGCUUUUUGACGUAAAAAAGCCAGAAAUUGAAUUGAAGCCAAGGCUUGGCUUGAUAAACAUUAUUCGUACUCUGCACCAGAUUUGGACCCAGUUGGUAUUUCCUAGGAUGGAAACGAAGCAAUCCAUACCGAUGGACGGACACUUGGAAUCAUAAAUCCAUCACAUGCAGCCUUCUACCCCAAUGGUCGAAGAAAUCCCCAACCUGGAUACGAUGCCAGCUCAUGCUCACAUGGAGGCUCAACUGAAUUAUUUGCUGCAACUGUUCAACACACACAUAAGAUUAGGUUAGGCGACAAUGCCGUAAUGUAUGCGAAGCUGAGGUGUCCACUUGUCAUGGCAAUUAAUUUUACAUGGGUAACGCGAAUCUCGGCAAACACGGUAACGGCUUGUUUGGCUUAACGACUGUAGCUAAUUGGCCUAUCUAGUACUAAUAACCAAAAUUUCAAGGAUGCAACUCAAAUAUUUAAAAAAAUAUUUUAAUCGUAUCGUAUUUCUAUAGAAAUAAAAAUUAUAACUAAUUAAACACAUUUGAUAGGAGGUUAUGUAUCUAAAUUUUUCGCUAAG